CAAUAACUAAAAUCCCGACACUCCUCUGAGUGCUCCAGCUCCCCUAACACAAUAGCUCUAUCCCCUUCGUCAUUCAAGAGCCUAUGAAAAUACGACUGCCAUCUAUUCUUAAUGUGGCCGUCCUCCACCAACACUGUACCGUCCUCCCCCUUAAUGCACUUCACCUAGUCGAGGUCACGACCCUUCCUCUCCCUAGCCUUAGCAAGUCUAAACAACUUUUUUCCCCUCCUUGCUCCUGUAACCCCGCAUACAAGCUCUCAAAAGUUGCCGUCUUAGCCGCCGUAACUGCUAACUUAGCCUCCUUCCUAGCUAACUUGUACUCUUUGUUGUUUACCCGUUUCUCUUCUUCGUCCUUACUCUCAACCAACUUAGCAUAUGCCCCUUUCUUGGUCUCCACUUUCUUCUUAACCUCUUCAUUCCACCACCAAUCCCCCCGAUGAUGCUCGGCCCGGCCCCUAGAAACACCCAACACCUCACUAGCAUUCUCCCUGAUGCACCUAGCCAUCCUAUCCCACAUACUAUCCACGUCCCCCCUA
rnacentral:lncRNA from 1 species